rnacentral:tRNA from 1 species
GGUGUUGUAGCUUGGUGGUGGAGCGCUUACCUCACAUGUGUGAGGUACUGGGUUCGAUUCUCAGCACCGCCU